GACGAACGCUGGCGGCGUGCCUAAUACAUGCAAGUUGAGCGCUGAAGGUUGGUACUUGUACCAACUGGAUGAGCAGCGAACGGGUGAGUAACGCGUGGGGAAUCUGCCUUUGAGCGGGGGACAACAUUUGGAAACGAAUGCUAAUACCGCAUAAAAACUUUAAACACAAGUUUUAAGUUUGAAAGAUGCAAUUGCAUCACUCAAAGAUGAUCCCGCGUUGUAUUAGCUAGUUGGUGAGGUAAAGGCUCACCAAGGCGAUGAUACAUAGCCGACCUGAGAGGGUGAUCGGCCACAUUGGGACUGAGACACGGCCCAAACUCCUACGGGAGGCAGCAGUAGGGAAUCUUCGGCAAUGGACGAAAGUCUGAACGAGCAACGCCGCGGGAGUGAAGAAGGUUUUCGGAUCGUAAAACUCGGUUGGUAGAGAAGAACGUUGGUGAGAGUGGAAAGCUCAUCAAGUGACGGUAACUACCCAGAAAGGGACGGCUAACUACGUG
rnacentral:rRNA from 1 species